AGAAGGUCAGCUCAGCCUAAUGAAGGGGUGGUGAGGGAAGAUCCCAAGAUCUGCCUAGUUGUCAGGUGAACCUACUCCUUCAAAAGCAGAAACAAAGCCGAAAAAGGCACCAGGAAAGGAUAAAUCUUCAGACCAAAAAAAGUGAAAAAUGAAAAGGAGAAAGCGGGAGCAAAGAGAAAACAGGCCAAAGAUGUAACCAGAAUAUUUACCUGCUUAAAAUGGAGAAACUAAAACCGAGAAGAGUCCAGCUUCUAAUGAAGCCAGAGAGAAAGAAGCCAGGUCU
rnacentral:lncRNA from 1 species